CCUACGGGUGGCAGCAGUGAGGAAUAUUGGUCAAUGGGCGUAAGCCUGAACCAGCCAAGUCGCGUGAGGGAUGACGGUUCUACGGAUCGUAAACCUCUUUUAUAAGGGAGUAAAGUGUGGGACGUGUCCUUUUUUGUAUGUACUUUAUGAAUAAGGAUCGGCUAACUCCGUGCCAGCAGCCGCGGUAAUACGGAGGAUCCGAGCGUUAUCCGGAUUUAUUGGGUUUAAAGGGUGCGUAGAUGGGUUUUUAAGUCAGUGGUGAAAGUUUGUGGCUCAACCAUAAAAUUGCCAUUGAUACUGGGGGCCUUGAGUAUAUUUGAGGCAGGCGGAAUGCGUGGUGUAGCGGUGAAAUGCUUAGAUAUCACGCAGAACCCCGAUUGCGAAGGCAGCUUACCAAGCCGUGACUGACGCUGAUGCACGAAAGCGUGGGGAUCAAACAGGAUUAGAUACCCGAGUAGUC
rnacentral:rRNA from 1 species